UACGUAGGGUGCGGGCGUGUCCGGAAUUAUUGGGCGUAAAGGGCUCGUAGGCGGUUUGUCGCGUCGGGAGUGAAAUCCACUGGCUUAACUGGUGGCCUGCUUUCGAUACGGGCAGACUGGAGGUAUGCAGGGGAGAACGGAAUUCCUGGUGUAGCGGUGAAAUGCGCAGAUAUCAGGAGGAACACCGGUGGCGAAGGCGGCUCUCUGGACAGUUCCUGACGCUGAGGCACGAAGGCCAGGGGAGCAAACGGG
rnacentral:rRNA from 1 species